GGGGAAUAUUGGACAAUGGGGGCAACCCUGAUCCAGCAAUUCUGUGUGCACGAUGAAGCUUUUCGGAAUGUAAAGUGCUUUCAGUUGGGAAGAAAAAAAUGACGGUACCAACAGAAGAAGUGACGGCUAAAUACGUGCCAGCAGCCGCGGUAAUACGUAUGUCACAAGCGUUAUCCGGAUUUAUUGGGCGUAAAGCGCGUCUAGGUGGUUAUAUAAGUCUGAUGUGAAAAUGCAGGGCUCAACUCUGUAUUGCGUUGGAAACUGUGUAACUAGAGUACUGGAGAGGUAAGCGGAACUACAAGUGUAGAGGUGAAAUUCGUAGAUAUUUGUAGGAAUGCCGAUGGGGAAGCCAGCUUACUGGACAGAUACUGACGCUGAAGCGCGAAAGCGUGGGUAGCAAACAGGAUUAGAUACCCUGGUAGUCCACGCCGUAAACGAUGAUUACUAGGUGUUGGGGGUCGAACCUCAGCGCCCAAGCAAACGCGAUAAGUAAUCCGCCUGGGGAGUACGUACGCAAGUAUG
rnacentral:rRNA from 1 species